rnacentral:rRNA from 1 species
AUGAUGAACGCUGGCGGCGUGCCUAAUACAUGCAAGUCGAACGAGUUCUGAUUAUUGAAAGGUGCUUGCAUCUUGAUUUAAUUUUGAACGAGUGGCGGACGGGUGAGUAACACGUGGGUAACCUGCCCUUAAGUGGGGGAUAACAUUUGGAAACAGAUGCUAAUACCGCAUAAAUCCAAGAACCGCAUGGUUCUUGGCUGAAAGAUGGCGUAAGCUAUCGCUUUUGGAUGGACCCGCGGCGUAUUAGCUAGUUGGUGAGGUAACGGCUCACCAAGGCAAUGAUACGUAGCCGAACUGAGAGGUUGAUCGGCCACAUUGGGACUGAGACACGGCCCAAACUCCUACGGGAGGCAGCAGUAGGGAAUCUUCCACAAUGGACGCAAGUCUGAUGGAGCAACGCCGCGUGAGUGAAGAAGGCUUUCGGGUCGUAAAACUCUGUUGUUGGAGAAGAAUGGUCGGCAGAGUAACUGUUGUCGGCGUGACGGUAUCCAACCAGAAAGCCACGGCUAACUACGUGCCAGCAGCCGCGGUAAUACGUAGGUGGCAAGCGUUAUCCGGAUUUAUUGGGCGUAAAGCGAGCGCAGGCGGUUUUUUAAGUCUGAUGUGAAAGCCCUCGGCUUAACCGAGGAAGUGCAUCGGAAACUGGGAAACUUGAGUGCAGAAGAGGACAGUGGAACUCCAUGUGUAGCGGUGAAAUGCGUAGAUAUAUGGAAGAACACCAGUGGCGAAGGCGGCUGUCUGGUCUGUAACUGACGCUGAGGCUCGAAAGCAUGGGUAGCGAACAGGAUUAGAUACCCUGGUAGUCCAUGCCGUAAACGAUGAAUGCUAGGUGUUGGAGGGUUUCCGCCCUUCAGUGCCGCAGCUAACGCAUUAAGCAUUCCGCCUGGGGAGUACGACCGCAAGGUUGAAACUCAAAGGAAUUGACGGGGGCCCGCACAAGCGGUGGAGCAUGUGGUUUAAUUCGAAGCAACGCGAAGAACCUUACCAGGUCUUGACAUCUUUUGAUCACCUGAGAGAUCAGGUUUCCCCUUCGGGGGCAAAAUGACAGGUGGUGCAUGGUUGUCGUCAGCUCGUGUCGUGAGAUGUUGGGUUAAGUCCCGCAACGAGCGCAACCCUUAUGACUAGUUGCCAGCAUUUAGUUGGGCACUCUAGUAAGACUGCCGGUGACAAACCGGAGGAAGGUGGGGAUGACGUCAAAUCAUCAUGCCCCUUAUGACCUGGGCUACACACGUGCUACAAUGGAUGGUACAACGAGUUGCGAGACCGCGAGGUCAAGCUAAUCUCUUAAAGCCAUUCUCAGUUCGGACUGUAGGCUGCAACUCGCCUACACGAAGUCGGAAUCGCUAGUAAUCGCGGAUCAGCACGCCGCGGUGAAUACGUUCCCGGGCCUUGUACACACCGCCCGUCACACCAUGAGAGUUUGUAACACCCGAAGCCGGUGGAGUAACCCUUUUAGGGAGCGAGCCGUCUAAGGUGGGA